rnacentral:rRNA from 1 species
AGUGAACGCUGGCGGUAGGCCUAACACAUGCAAGUCGAACGGCAGCACAGUAAGAGCUUGCUCUUACGGGUGGCGGGUGGCGGACGGGUGAGGAAUACAUCGGAAUCUACUUUUUCGUGGGGGAUAACGUAGGGAAACUUACGCUAAUACCGCAUACGACCUACGGGUGAAAGCAGGGGAUCUUCGGACCUUGCGCGAUUGAAUGAGCCGAUGUCGGAUUAGCUAGUUGGCGGGGUAAAGGCCCACCAAGGCGACGAUCCGUAGCUGGUCUGAGAGGAUGAUCAGCCACACUGGAACUGAGACACGGUCCAGACUCCUACGGGAGGCAGCAGUGGGGAAUAUUGGACAAUGGGCGCAAGCCUGAUCCAGCCAUACCGCGUGGGUGAAGAAGGCCGUCGGGUUGUAAAGCCCUUUUGUUGGGAAAGAAAAGCAGCAGGUUAAUACCCCGCUGUUCUGACGGUACCCAAAGAAUAAGCACCGGCUAACUUCGUG